AUACAGAAAGUAUUAUGUUGUUGUAUUCAAACGUUUAAAAAAAUGUUUUUUAAUGUUCUAAUUUUUCCUUAUUAGAGAUUGUACAUUGAAAAAUAACCCAAAACUUUGACUUACUUUGGAAUUCAUAGUUAUUCAUUUAAUUUUGAAUAUGUUUCUGAAAUAUGUUUUUCGUUUAAUAGCAACCUAAAUUAAUGCAAUGUAAACUUAUAUAAUUUUUCGUUUAAUAGCAUCAUACUUCCUAUUUAUGUCAUAUUAUGUGUAUUUUUGUUGUAAAUAAAAAGUACGUUGGUAUGAAUUUUCUAUUUUUGGAACUUACAGUGACAUACUAUAUCAUUUUACAUGAAUGGCCCCCGUAAUUUCAAAGUUAAGAUAAUUGGCCCAUUUUUCCCUAAUAAGACAUAAGUGACAACCUGCUUUUCAUUUAUGGCAACCUACUUUCGUUUAAUAGCAUCCUACUUUCUUUUAAGGUAAAGUUAUAACAUCACUCCAUUUAUGUAGUAUAAUAACAACCUACUUUCAUUUAAUAACACCCUAUUUUUCAUAUAAAUUAAAAUUUCUAUAGUGUAAUGCCUUAUUUAAAAAGUACAUCAAACUACAUAAUGUUUACGAAAGUAUAUUCACAUAAUAAUACUUAUUAUGUAUUUGUAUUGCUCUAUUUUACUUAAAUUUACAUAAAUACCCUUUUAUUGCAAAUUAAUUGUUUUAAAUUUCUUAAGUUGUCUAUACUACAAUGCCUAUAUUAUGGCAUAUUACUUUUCACUUUUUUUUUUUUGUCUAAUAGCGGCCUACUUUUCAUUUAAUAGCAUUCUACUUUUAAUUUAUCUUAAAAUCUAUAUAGUAUUCCCCUUUUUUACCACUCAUAUUAAGUUUAUACAAAAAGAAGUUUCAUUAGAAAAACAUAAAUAAAUUAGAUGAAAGGGUUGAACAAUAUUGAGAUAAUGAACAAACUGCACCAGAGGCUAAAUUAUCCUCAAAAUGAAGCAAACAACUACACUAUGGAAUUAAAAAAGAAACAUAUUUAGCUAAAAGUGCAUUGAUGUUAUUAGCAAAAAUAAAUAAAUUAUGUUGGUUCUUAGUCUAUUUUUACCACUAAAACACUAAAACAUUGGUUUUAUAUAAAUCACCAUUUUACCCAUAUCAGAUGCGAAACAAAAAGUGCCUUGUUAUUAGUAAAAAAAAUUAUAUUGGAAAAAUUGAAAGGGAUAAAAUGGUCAUUUAUUUCAUAAAAAGUUCCACUAUUAUAAAACAUAACAUUGUAUGUUCAAUUUAUAUUUGAUAGUGCAUUGGCAUAACAAAUAAAUUAGAAUGAAAUAGUUUAACUAUAUAGAGAUAAUGAACAAAUUGCAUCAGAGGCUAAAUCAUUGUCAAAAUGAGGCGAAGACAUGUCAUGAAUAUUGAAAAAAAUAAAUUAGUGAGAAAGGUUAUCUUUUGAAUGAAGAAAAUUGCAGAAUUUACUCUGUAAAAGCAUAAAGUUACAGAAAUUACCCUCUUAAUGUAGAAAAUAACAAAUAUUAUACUUUAAAUGCUGAUAAUUACAUAAAUUACCGUUUUAAUGCAUAAAACUACAAUUAAAUCCCUUUGAAUGCAGACAUUGGCAUUUUAGUGCAGAAAACUAUUGAAAAAUCCCUUUUAUUGCAAAAAAUAGAAAAAUUACCCUUUUAAUGCAGGAAAAUCCCUUUAACUGCCUAAACUUAAAGAUAUAGACAAUUUCCAAUCCAAAAACUGUAAAAUGCAAUUGUACUUUCCUGUUUGUAUCAAUACAACCAAGGUAUAUGCCAGUAGCUUUUAUAAAUCAUCUUAUAAUUUAUUUAAUGAAAAACAAGUAGACAUAUCAACAAAAUGAGAACUGCAUAACUUAUAACCAAAAGAUAUUAUAACAACAUAUUUGUAAAAUAUAAUAAAAAAAACAUUCAAAACUAAAUAUUAUAACAACAUAUUUGAUUCAAAAGUAUAUACAUAGGUCUCAAAUAUGAUUAUUAAAUCUAAUUAGAAGUUUAUUGCAUUAUUUUUUUGGUCUGAAUUAAAAAAUGAUGAUUAGAUAUGAAGAUUAGAUAUCCAAAACUAUUAACGAAUGUUACGUUUGCAGAUUGGUCAUCUCGACUUAAAAAAUGAAAAUGACAUGCUAUAGUUGUCUUAAAAUAAAGUAACAUGCUCUUUUUGGCUUAAAAAUGAAUCUAACAUGCUAUUUUUGGCUUAAAAGUGAAAGUAGUAUGCUUACUUAAUAACUUAACAACUUCUUCAAAACCAUGUCUACUUAAUAACUUCUAGUAUCAUUACAAACUUCAAAAAAAUAUUUUCUUAAUAAUCUCUUUUCAAUCUCCAAAAAUAGAAUUUCAAAAUAAUUAGAAAGAUUUGCUAGUUAGUGGAACCCCAUUUGGUUGACAGAAGGAUAGGGUUAAUAACUUCUAGUGCUGAAAACCUAUUAAAAUUGAUUUUAAACUAUAUAUCCAUAAAGAAAAAGUUAAUAAAAUAAAUAAAUGAAACAUGCAUCAAGUUCACAUGAGACAAAAAAAUAAAUACAACAGUUUAUAAUUAAGGAUAAACAGGAAAUUAACUUAACUGGAAUGACAUUCACUUCAAUUUUGUUGUCGAAUAAAAUCCAUAUCCUCUCGAAGUUAAUCCAUUACAUACUUUAUAAUUAAAUCAAUAACCAAAAGCAAAUAUCUUUGUUAAAUAAGUCAACGUAAAAAUUCAUUUGUUUGCAAUUUUUAUGGUGAAAGAAGAACAAAGGGAAAAACAAAAAAUUCAAUUUGGAAAGAAAAAAUCAGAAUAAGAAACAUAAAAAAUAUUGAUUAAACGAUCGAAGUGAAAAGAUUUUAACCUAAAUAUCCUCAUUUCCCAAUAAAAAUAUCAACCAUAUCUCAUAACAUGUAUGAAAUUGAUUGCGAAGAACACUCCAAAUAUGCUUAUCAAAGAUCAAACUAAUGACAUGAUUGGGGACAGACCUAUGAUGCUACUUGAUCCCUGCUUCUCAAAACAUAUUCAACAUUAGUGGGUUGGCAUAUGAAUUAAAAAUUGUAAUUUGGCUAAUACAUACCAUAAAAGGAGGCUCGAAGAUGUAGAUCCCUUUAGAAAUUGCAAUUCCAUGGAUAUUGCUGCCAUAAUAGAUUCUUUGAAACCAGAAUAAAGAAAAUGAUACUUUACGAUCUUAAUACUCCUCGAAUUAAACUGUAUCAGAAGAAAUCGAGAGAGUAGCAAUAUAGGAUUGGGAUAAUUAAAGCAUCAUAGAUGGAUUAAAUCCUUGUAUUAUUUCUUUCGAUUUUCUUUCAAAAAACAAAAGCAAGAUUAAAUAGGAAAAAUAACAAAAGAAAAGAAAUAGAAAAGGAAAAGGAGAGAGAGAGAGAGAGAGAGAGAGAGAGAGACUACCUGAAGAGUUGAAAUUUUAUGAGAAUGAAUGUAUAUAUGAAGCUGAGAUAAUGUGUAUUUAAUUUUAAAUAAAAUUUGAUUCCUAGUUUUCUGGGAUUGGGUUGAAUAUAUAGAUAAUUUUAGAGUAAAUUUAGGAGCCCGAAUGAAAUUGAAAUUAGAAAACAAUAAAAUCAUCUUAUCAA
rnacentral:lncRNA from 1 species